ACCAGACUCCUACGGGAGGCAGCAGUGGGGGAUAUUGCACAAUGGGGGGAACCCUGAUGCAGCGACGCCGCGUGGGUGAAGAAGCGCCUCGGCGCGUAAAGCCCUGUCAGCAGGGAAGAAAAUGACGGUACCUGAAGAAGAAGCCCCGGCUAACUACGUGCCAGCAGCCGCGGUAAUACGUAGGGGGCAAGCGUUAUCCGGAUUUACUGGGUGUAAAGGGGGCGCAGACGGCGAUGCAAGCCAGGAGUGAAAGCCCGGGGCCCAACCCCGGGACUGCUCUUGGAACUGCGUGGCUGGAGUGCAGGAGGGGCAGGCGGAAUUCCUGGUGUAGCGGUGAAAUGCGUAGAUAUCAGGAGGAACACCGGUGGCGAAGGCGGCCUGCUGGACUGCAACUGACGUUGAGGCCCGAAAGCGUGGGGAGCAAACAGGAUUAGAUACCCCCGUAAU
rnacentral:rRNA from 1 species